rnacentral:snoRNA from 1 species
GUGAAGGCAGUGAUGAUGAAAAACUACCUAUUUUAUGAGGAAUACUCUGAUUAGAAAAUUUUACCAAUGGAUCCUUCUGAGCCUUCA